CUUCCUUUCAAAACUCAUUAGUGGCAUUUAUCCUCAUUUGAAUGAGAAGAAGCCACAAAGAUUUCAACUGGAGGUUCACUCAGCAGGCCCCAGCAAUUCCCACCAAGCCUUCACACACCAUCAAUCGUUCUCUUUCAUAUGGCGUUGAAUUGGAAAAUUCUUUUCUAUUCCCAUGUCACGGGCUACUCCAGGAGCUUAGCAACUCGAGUGGUUGCCCUGGAAGAGGACUCCACCCUCCCUAACUAAGAAAGAACAGCUGCAGAGAGGAUUUCCCAUUUCUUGAUCUACAGAGAAAGACAACUCCAAGUCUAUUUUCUGCUGAGAAACUCCAAGACAGGGAAAAUGACGCAUGGAUAGAUAAUUUGCCAAUGGGGAGCUGAAGAUAAACAGACUGAAAGAAGGUAUUUUCUGAAGCUUAAUAGAAACUUACAACAGGAUUAACAAUGAAUUGAAAAGGGGGCAGCUACAAAGCAGGUCAAUGUCUGAAGGUCAAGCAAAAGGAACAAAGUGAAACAAAUACCAGUAAAAUGAGAGGAAAAAUCUUCUCCUCUUGUUUGGCAAAGCUUGGACUAGAAAUGGCCCCUCUGGCAAAGAUUUCUUGGGACCUAAAGUCAACUAGUGAUGC
ensembl:lncRNA